UAGUCCACGCUGUAAACGAUGAGCACUAGUUAUCGCGGGUCUAACCCCCGCGGUUACGCAGCUAACGCAUUAAGUGCUCCGCCUGGGGAGUACGGUCGCAAGACUAAAACUCAAAGGAAUUGACGGGGGCCCGCACAAGCGGUGGAUUAUGUGGUUUAAUUCGAAGCUACGCGAAGAACCUUACCUGGACUUGAAAUCCUGUGAAUUAAGUAGAGAUACUAUAGUGCCCUUCGGGGAACACAGUGACAGGUGCUGCAUGGCUGUCGUCAGCUCGUGUUGUGAAAUGUUGGGUUAAGUCUCGCAACGAGCGCAACCCCUAUGGUUAGUUGCCAGCAUUUAGUUGGGCACUCUAGCCAGACUGCCCGGGUUAACCGGGAGGAAGGUGGGGAUGACGUCAAGUCCUCAUGGCCCUUAUGUCCAGGGCUACACACGUAAUACAAUGGCGCGCACAAAGGGAUGCUAAGCCGCGAGGUGGAGCAAAUCCGUAAAAGCGCGUCUCAGUCCGGAUUG
rnacentral:rRNA from 1 species